ACAGGGUUGUCAGGGUUGAAAGAAGACCAGAGACUUGCCAAUGAUGGAGGAAGUUGAACUUGAAGCCUGCCUGGAUCUCUUGUCUGUGGUUGGGGAGGAGGAAACCAUGAGGAGGACUGGGAAGGGAGCAUUUGUACAGUUUGAAUGACGCUGAGCAUGGUCCCACAGGGCCUCCUUGCACAGUGACCCCCCUUCCAUGUCUGGGAAGCUGGUUCUGCCUCACAUGGAAACCUGCAAAGGUGACGCUGCCUCUUAAGUCGUGGGCCCCAGCAUGCCAUUGGAGACAAAUGAUACUAAUGGUUGCAGGCAGGGUGGACAGAACCCGAUUUGGAGAGGCUCUCGUGCUCCCAGGGGCUGGGCACAUUGACUGUGGAAAACUCCCAUCUGAGGCCUUCCCUUGGAGUUGGUCCCUGCUGGGGGCUCCUUGGAGCAGCCUUCACCCAAGGCCUGGCCAGUUCAAGGACACAGGGACCUUGCCCCUUUCUUAGUUCAGGACCAGUGUUAACUCAAGGAAGUGCAUGCUAGCUAGUGAGUGCCUGGGGGUGGGCCAAGGCCUCUGAGCACAGGCCUCACAGUGGGGCAGUUCCCUCUGCUGGCUCUGCUCCUGGGGCACCCCCUCGCUUUGUGAUUCUUUUUUUUUUUUUAAUAAUUCUCCUUUUUUAUUUAUUUAUUUAUGAUAGUCACAGAGAGAGAGAGAGAGGCAGAGACACAGGCAGAGGGAGAAGCAGGCUCCAUGCACCAGGAGCCUGAUGUGGGAUUCGAUCCCGGGUCUCCAGGAUCGUGCCCUGGGCCAAAGGCAGGCGCCAAACCACUGCGCCACCCAGGGAUCCCUCGCUUUGUGAUUCUGAGAGCACCUCUCUCCCAACUUCCUGCGUGCAGAUCUGCCCCUUAGAAUCUGGAUGGUUCUAGAAGUAGACCUGAGACAGUUGCUGCCAGCACUAAGCCACAGAAACGGACUCGAAAAUGAAAUAUUGGCCCUGAAUGCUGGGCUGCUGGCUGGGGGUAAAACCCCACCUCUCCGCUCACAGGGAGAGAUUGGAGAGCCCCUGGCUGAUGGGGGUAUUGCAAUUGUGAAGACUCCCCAGGGGUGAAUUGCUACGGAUUUUGGUGAAGGAAAUGCACUCGUGCGUACAAUAUCUCAAAAGUUCCAGAGAUCCAGGGAGAAAUAAUCAUCAUCAAGGCUGUGGAACAGGGGUAACUCCUGCUAGUGGCCCUGGUACAUUAGCGUAAGACCAAGAGAAGCUGGGGGUGAUUAAUCACCACCUGAAGGCAAAGUGUUGAGUCCGCAGGUGGUCUCGGAUGCAUGUGAAGCAACUCAACCUUCUGUUCCUGUGAGGCAGGGAAAGCUAAGGAUCGGGCUCAGGACUUAACUGGAAGAGUAGCUAAGCUGCGGAGAAGCAACGUGGAAAUCCCACCCCCAGCAAGUCUCUGUCUCAGGGUGUGGGCUGCCGCGGGGAAAGUAUGGGACCCUGGCACUGGUGUUCGGUGCGCUGAGGCACCUUGGAUCUGUGAACCCUCUGAGUCUGCAGAAAGGACCCGCUCCUCCCCGUAACGGGCCAGUGCUCGGCCCUCGUUCUAAAGGUGACGCGCAGGCCUCUGCCCUGGGAGGCCACCAGCACCCCAUUUAGGACACAACCCACCUCUGCUACCGGCAAGCAGCUGUGUCGGUAGGGCUGACUCACAAUAUAACCCGGCCAGAAAGUGCCAGGCCCCCUAAGGGAGGAAAGCCACUGUACUUUGAAGAAGCUGUGGGACUUGGCCAACACGUGCCACCAGAGGCUGGGAGUCCAUGGAUUGGACCAGAUUCUGAGGGUGCUGGAUCAGGGGAAUAGAAUGCAAAGUAGGGGAAGAGGUAGUUUUUCACUAUGUGGCACAGGAGUGACUCUGACAAGCACCUGGGAGUCUGAAGGUGGUUCUUAGAAGCUUGGAAAAAGUAAUGGCCCACGCCAAGGGCAGCAGGAAUGUGAGAGCAGCUGAGACAAAUGAAGGGAAAAGAGGAAAUACAAGCUUGAGGACCCAGGACUUCCCUGUGCCAAGAGGAAGAAUGAAUGGAAAACUGGACCCAGGAGAUACAACUACAAACAUGAAAGCAACCAAGACCGAGGAGAGUUUAGCACUUUUAAGACUUCCAUGUACCAUUAUAUGGAAGAUGUGCAGGAUAAUGGAAUCUACACCUAUGCCAUUGGAAAGCUUGAGUUGAGCAGAUGGAGCCCAGUGUUCUAGAAAUCCAAGGAAGCCAGAGAUCACAGGUCAGAAGUAUGGAGAGGAGAGAAGAGGAAAGAAGAGAAACGAAGGACAGUGCUACCUUAAGAUUUAAAGACUUCUUCCACUCUUCAGAAAAUACCAGUGUUCUACAGCGCAGAUGUUAAAAAGCAGGACUUUGGUAAACCAUCUACUCAUAAAGUAUCUUUCUGCGAAUACUGCCAAAAGUAUUUAUCCUGGAUGUGUUACUUGCUCCCAAAGGAAGGAAGGGGAAGUGAAACCACUAGGGAUAUAAUGAAUUGAUUCUUCUCUGUGAAAGUCUCUUCAGCACUUCUAAAUUACAGUGUCAGUCAUUCCUCUGAGAGACAGGGCCUGCUGACAAUAAAUAAGUGGUUCACUUUAUAAGAA